rnacentral:rRNA from 1 species
AUUGAACGUUGGCGGCAUGCCUUACACAUGCAAGUCGAACGGCAGCGCGGGCUUCGGCCUGGCGGCGAGUGGCGAACGGGUGAGUAAUAUAUCGGAACGUGCCCUAGAGUGGGGGAUAACUAGUCGAAAGACUAGCUAAUACCGCAUACGAUCUAAGGAUGAAAGUGGGGGAUCGCAAGACCUCAUGCUCCUGGAGCGGCCGAUAUCUGAUUAGCUAGUUGGUGGGGUAAAGGCCUACCAAGGCGACGAUCAGUAGCUGGUCUGAGGGGACGACCAGCCACACUGGGACUGAGACACGGCCCAGACUCCUACGGGAGGCAGCAGUGGGGAAUUUUGGACAAUGGGGGCAACCCUGAUCCAGCAAUGCCGCGUGUGUGAAGAAGGCCUUCGGGUUGUAAAGCACUUUUGUUCGGAAAGAAAUCGCCUGGGCUAAUACCCUGGGUGGAUGACGGUACCGGAAGAAUAAGCACCGGCUAACUACGUGCCAGCCGCCGCGGUAACAC